GACGAAGGGGGCUAGCGUUGUUCGGAAUUACUGGGCGUAAAGCGCGUGUAGGCGGUUGUUUAAGUCAGGGGUGAAAGCCUUGAGCUCAACUCAAGAAAUGCACUUGAUACUGGAUGACUAGAGGACCGGAGAGGAUAGUGGAAUUCCCAGUGUAGUGGUGAAAUACGUAGAGAUUGGGAAGAACACCAGUGGCGAAGGCGGCUAUCUGGACGGUUUCUGACGCUAAGACGCGAAAGCGUGGGGAGCAAACAGG
rnacentral:rRNA from 1 species